rnacentral:rRNA from 1 species
UACGAGGGGGGCGAGCGUUGUUCGGAAUUACUGGGCGUAAAGGGCGCGUAGGCGGCGUGUCAAGUCAGGCGUGAAAGCCCCGGGCUCAACCUGGGAACCGCGCUUGAGACUGGCAUGCUCGAGUUCGGGAGAGGAUGGUGGAAUUCCCAGUGUAGAGGUGAAAUUCGUAGAUAUUGGGAAGAACACCGAUGGCGAAGGCAGCCAUCUGGACCGACACUGACGCUGAGGCGCGAAAGCGUGGGGAGCAAACAGG